UACGUAGGUGGCGAGCGUUAUCCGGAAUGAUUGGGCGUAAAGGGUGCGUAGGCGGCCUGCUAAGUCUGGAGUGAAAGGUACCGGCUCAACCGGUACAGGCUCUGGAAACUGGUAGACUUGAGUGCAGGAGAGGAGAGUGGAAUUCCAUGUGUAGCGGUGAAAUGCGUAGAUAUAUGGAGGAACACCGGUGGCGAAAGCGGCUCUCUGGCCUGUAACUGACACUGAGGCUCGAAAGCGUGGGGAGCAAACAGG
rnacentral:rRNA from 1 species